UACCCUCCUUUUCUCCUCCCGUGACUCACUCUCACUUUCCCCAAAUCAGCCACAAUGGCGUCUUCCAAGUCUGUCGUCCUGCUGGUCCCCUCCGAUUCCUCCUCCGCUCGCUGACACCGGUACUCCCCUGCUCUCGGCCGUGGAUAAAUCCGCGCGAGGACGCCGGCUAGUGCGCGCCUCCGGCCACGCCGGUUGCUGCUGGACUCCCCGACGCCGCUGCCCGCCUCCCCUCCCCUGGACGGCUAGGUCGCUAAGGCCUACUGUGCUUCGUCGGCCGUCAGCCAGCUCUAUCCGUCGAGCAGUGCUGCUUCAGCUCAACGCACAUGCCUGCCUCCCUAGAAUGCCGGCGGUGCAGGCUGCACUAUAACCAGCCCGUUUUACCACUAGAUCUGUGGGGCGCCGGCGGCAGCAGGCAGCUGUAGCCCCCGCUCCCUGACCAGCAUGACCAUGAGUAACGGCGGAUGCAGAGGACAAGCUCGAGGAUGGCGAUUCAGAGGAGCAGGGAGAUACAAGAAGAAAUAAUGCAAGAUGAGUCAUUUUGUUCAUUACGAUAAAUCUACGAAGUGGAAGAAAAUGAGCAUGCCACUAAUAUUUCGAUCUUUUGAGGGGUAAUCCUGUGGUCGUUGUACACAAAUGGGAGUCUAGGAGUGAACUAAUCUUUUGUUCAAAGUGUGACUGGACACUUCAAUUUUUGUCGCAUGUUCGCCUAAUGGGAUGUUCCCUGACCAGUUACUUUGCUGGGUUGCAGCCAAGAUCUCAAGCAUGAAGUUCAUUUACUAUAAAGCUGGGCUAGGUUUCCCCACUUAUUGCCGCAACUUCACAUUGGACAUCACAAGGAUGGGUGAAGCCACGAAUCCUGAUUGAAGACCGGAAGAUGAUGAUGAUAACAAGAGCUCGAUGGAGGUGUGCAGUCCUAUUGAAGAUGGCCAAGUUCAGAUCCAAAGGCGAUGUAUUCCAUCCAGUGCCUGUGGCCGGGGAUCGCAUCCAGCCUGUGCGAUCUGUGUGGAGAACGCACCCUGCGGCCAACAAAAUCCUGUUAUAUAGGCAAUGGAAAAAGGCGGAAGGUGAGUCGCAGAAAGAAAAAUUGGCGCCAAUGUGGUUGUUCAGGAAAGGGCGGAGGCGGAGAUGGACAGUUGCGAUCUGUAUUUGUUAAUCGCGUUUGUGGAAAAACGACUAAUACUCGUUUUCCCACAAACCUGGAAUUCUGGGCCUUUGUGAAACGAGUUUCCUAUAUGCAUGGGUUAGUUGGAGGAGCCAAACAAGAUUUUGUACGGUUAAGCCGUUUUUCUGGCUUAUGGAGAUUCCGAUCUGUAUGUUCCCCUUAUCCAAACAACGCCUUUAGGUUGACACUUGAAAUAUGUACUCGUUGAUACUUCAAAUAUGUAGUUUGACACUUGAAAACAAAAUUAUUUUUAUUUCUCUA